ACCCACUAGCGGCGCCACCAGCAGGUCAGCCCCCGGCGACGGCAGAUGAAGACCUUGGGGCAGCGGGCUCCCAGCCAUCGGNNNNNNNNNNNNNNNNNNNNNNNNNNNNNNNNNNNNNNNNNNNNNNNNNNCGGGGCCGACCCCAUAGCGAAUUGGAGACUGAACCUCCUAGCGAGUUGCGCUGACCCCCUAGCGAAACGGAGGCUGAUUCCUCCUAGCGAGUUGGGGCUAUUCCCCUAGCGUUAUUGGAGGCUGAUCCUCCUAGCGAGUUGGGGCUGACCCCCUAGCGAAACGGAGGCUGAUCCUCUUAGCGAGUUGGGGGCUGACCCCCUAGCGAAUUGGAGGCGGAUCCUCCUGGCGAUUUGGGGCUGAUCCCCGAGCGAAUUGGAGGCUGACCCUCCUAGUGAUUUGGGGCUGACCCCCUAGCGAAUCGGAGGCUGAUCCUCCCAGCGAGCUGGGGCUGAUCCCCUAGCGAACCGGGGCUUAUCCUCACAGCGAUUUGGGGCUGACCCCCUAACGAAUGGGAGGCUGACCCCCCCUUAGCGAGUGGGGCUGACCCCUAGCGCAUCGGAGACAGACCCUCCUAGAGAGCUUGGGGCAAAUCGUCCCCUCCAGCAAGUUGGCAGCAUCACUUCCCAGCGAGCCAGGCGCUGACCAUGUUAGUGACCGGAAGCCGACACCCCAGCGAGCCAGAGACCUCAUCAUAGCGAGUCAGAGGCAGACCAGACAAUGUCCGGCGGAAUCCUUACACGAUUUGCGCCAAGAUAUCCGGCGACCUAGACUCGGCAUCACGAGAUAUUAUCAAUAGCGAGGCAAGGCGGAGACCUAGACCAAACCCGCGGCACCUCCACCAUCUUCCGUCCCUACAGGAAACUGACAUGCGCGCACCACAACUCCUACCACCGGACCAACAAGCAGCCACCCAGGGACCGGAUUCGGGAAAUUCCCGCCAAGCCGAACCCCUGGGAGUGCCUCGCGGCCUAGGGGGAGGGUCACCCCUGCGCAUGCCGUCCGUCCAGCUGCUGGGAUCGCCGACGGCACGUUCACCAGCCGCCAGGCGACAGCGUCUAGAUACCCCGGGAAGAGCGCAAGCCACAGGCGCGAGGGCGGCGGUCGACCUCCUCACCGCGUGGGAAGCAGCGACAUUCCAGGCCGACCGGAACCCUACCCCACGGGACCUGUUUGGCCUGAGAACCCUAAACCCACUAGCGGCGCCACCAGCAGGUCAGCCCCCGGCGACGGCAGAUGAAGACCUUGGGGCAGCGGGCUCCCAGCCAUCGGCCGCAGACGCAGCAGGGCGGCAAGUCCGGCGACUGGUGCAAAUCAACCUAUGCCACCAGAUCCUCCACCAGCACGGGCUAGAAGGGCUGCUGGCGGCGCACGCCGCGGGCAUGCUAGACCUGGAAAGCACCAACCUGACUUCGAGGCUCGGAAACGCGCCAGUAGGCGGUAGACAGUUACACGAGCCCUCGGGGCCCCGGUUUCCCACCUCUCUGGAGGAGAGACAGGUAGCCCGGCCCCCGAGUCUGCCCGCGAACGAGUACCCGAGCAGCGGCGCCACGGAGCGGGAUGGCCACCCCGCACCCGAGGCUGGUGUUUGGCGUACCGCCGGCGUAGUGGCCCCACCCUACCCCGUCGAGGAACGC
rnacentral:lncRNA from 1 species